rnacentral:rRNA from 1 species
GGGGAAUAUUGCACAAUGGGCGAAAGCCUGAUGCAGCAACGCCGCGUGAACGAUGAAGGUCUUCGGAUCGUAAAGUUCUGUCGCAGGGGAAGAUAAUGACGGUACCCUGUGAGGAAGCACCGGCUAACUACGUGCCAGCAGCCGCGGUAAUACGUAGGGUGCUAGCGUUAUCCGGAUUUACUGGGCGUAAAGGGUGCGUAGGUGGUCUUUCAAGUCGGUGGUUAAAGGCUACGGCUCAACCGUAUUAAGCCGCCGAAACUGGAAGACUUGAGUGCAGGAGAGGAAAGUGGAAUUCUCAGUGUAGCGGUGAAAUGCGUAGAUAUUGAGAAGAGCACCAGUAGCGAAGGCGGCUUUCUGGACUGUAACUGACACUGAGGCACGAAAGCGUGGGUAGCAAAC